rnacentral:tRNA from 1 species
GGGCUGCUCGUCGAACAGGAAGACACCGUUUUCGCACGGCGGAGAUCGGGGUGCGAUUCCCCGGCGGUCCA